rnacentral:pre_miRNA from 12 species
CGCCUGUCCUACGCAGCCCGGAUUCUGUGGGAGCUGCGCCGUUCUUUCUAUCCGUAGCACCACAUGAUUCGGCUUCGUGGUGCAGGGCAU